UUUGUGUCCACAACCAAAGAAAGGGAAGAACUGUGACCACAUUACCACAUCAUAGUUGUUCUCUGGUGUCAUCUUCCUCAUCUGGGGCAUGUAGUGUAAGGCAUUAAGCCUUCCACUUGUCACUUGAAGAAAAUAAUGGAAGGGACUUAGGUAGCAGCCACAGGCACCGCUCCCUGGUGUCCUUGCCAGAGCUCCUGAAGACCAUGGUUCCUGAUCACAGCAGGGUUGACACUGUGCAGGAUGGGGACAUCACAGGCAACCUGCUGAUUUCUGUCAGAUUUUGCUCAGUUUUCCUGUGA
rnacentral:lncRNA from 1 species